rnacentral:rRNA from 1 species
AUUGAACGCUGGCGGCAUGCUUUACACAUGCAAGUCGAGCGGCAGCGCGGGGCAACCUGGCGGCGAGCGGCAAACGGGUGAGUAAUGCAUCGGAACAUGUCCUGUCGUGGGGGAUAGCCCGGCGAAAGCCGGAUUAAUACCGCAUACGUCCGAGAGGAGAAAGUGGGGGACCGCAAGGCCUCACGCGAUUGGGUUGGCCGAUGUCCGAUUAGCUAGUUGGUGAGGUAAAGGCUCUCCAAGGCGAUGAUCGGUAGCUGGUCUGAGAGGAUGAUCAGCCACACUGGGACUGAGACACGGCCCAGACUCCUACGGGAGGCAGCAGUGGGGAAUUUUGGACAAUGGGGGCAACCCUGAUCCAGCCAUUCCGCGUGAGUGAAGAAGGCCUUCGGGUUGUAAAGCUCUUUUGUCCGGAACGAAACGGUGAGCGUGAAUAUCGCUCGCUACUGACGGUACCGGAAGAAUAAGCACCGGCUAACUACGUGCCAGCCGCCGCCGUAAGAC